rnacentral:tRNA from 3 species
GUCUGGUUGGUGUAGUUGGUUAUCACGUUAGUCUCACACACUAAAGGUCCCCAGUUCGAACCUGGGAUCAGACA